AUUGAACGCUGGCGGCAGGCCUAACACAUGCAAGUCGAGCGAGCGGCGGACGGGUGCGUAAUGUAUGGGGACUGCCCGAUAGAGGGGGAUAACUACUGGAAACGGUAGCUAAUACCGCAUACUAUCGGCUACCCCAUAGGGGCGUAGCUAGUAGGUGAGGUAAUGGCUCACCUAGGCGACUAUCCCUAGCUGGUCUGAGAGGAUGAUCAGCCACACUGGGACUGAGACACGGCCCAGACUCCUACGGAGGCAGCAGUGGGGAAUAUUGGGCAAUGGGCGCAAGCCUGAUGCAGCCAUGCCGCGUGUAUGAAGAAGGCCUUAGGGUUGUAAAGUACUGUCAGUCGGGAGGCGUUACCGACAGAAGAAGCACCGGCUAACUCCGUGCCAGCAGCCGCGGUAAUUC
rnacentral:rRNA from 1 species